rnacentral:rRNA from 1 species
CCUACGGGUGGCAGCAGUGAGGAAUAUUGGUCAAUGGACGAGAGUCUGAACCAGCCAAGUCGCGUGAAGGAUGACUGCCCUAUGGGUUGUAAACUUCUUUUAUAUGGGAAUAAAAUGUUCCACGUGUGGGAUUUUGUAUGUACCAUAUGAAUAAGGAUCAGCUAACUCCGUGCCAGCAGCCGCGGUAAUACGGAGGAUCCGAGCGUUAUCCGGAUUUAUUGGGUUUAAAGGGAGCGUAGGUGGAGUGUUAAGUCAGUUGUGAAAGUUUGCGGCUCAACCGUAAAAUUGCAGUUGAAACUGGCAGUCUUGAGUACAGUAGAGGUGGGCGGAAUUCGUGGUGUAGCGGUGAAAUGCUUAGAUAUCACGAAGAACUCCGAUUGCGAAGGCAGUUCACUGGACUGCAACUGACACUGAGGCUCGAAAGUGUGGGUAUCAAACAGGAUUAGAUACCCCGGUAGUC